UGCAGCAGAAGGACCCCCUCAUUCUGGAGAUGGGAUGACCCCCAAGAACAGCAGCGGCAGCGGAGUGGAGCAGUCAGAGCCUAGGUGACAAGCUGUGUGUGCUGCAGAGAGCCGAGCCGGAGAAGUGACCCAGACCUUUGGAGGAGCCCAGAAUAUCAUGGGUGGAUCCCAGACAUUGGGCAUUUUGCUAUUUACACUGUUGGGAAUUUGGUUUUGCUUUGUUCAGAUUGGGACUGUGCCCUGGUUCUUCUCUCCUGAGGGGCCAUCUAUCUAUAAGAAUAGUCAAGUGAGCUGAGAAAUCGCCAGUGUUCAGUUGGAUUACACUUGUUCCAAAACAGAUAACCUUAGAGGUAGAGUUUAACAAGGGAGUCUUGGUUCCUGAAGGAUCCAGAAUGCUAAGUGCUGCAGCAUCUCUAAGGACAUGCUUAGAAAAUACUGCAGUACCAGGUGUGGUGUUUCAACUUGUGUCUUUAGGUCACAGUCAAGAAUCAUGGCAGAUCGCCUUACAACCACAUCACUGCAAACAACAGCAGGUGCACAAGGAGUUCUAAAACAAUUCUUUACAGAUCCUCAUUGAAACCAUCAUCCCAGCUACAGAGAUUAGGCCACUGGGAUGCUUUCACUUACGCCUGGUACCCUGACCCACAGUUAUUUUUCUUAGCUGAACCUACAUAUUAUCAAGCAAAUAAAAUCCCAGAGAGGAGGAUGCUUAUGCGAAGAUUGUUGCAUCGCUGGAGGACACAACUGAUAAUCAGAGCAAGGAUUUGAGGAAAGAGCCAGCUCCGUUUCCUUAGGAUGCCUACACUGCCACUUGAAAGAUCACUGUUUCAUCUUUGUCCCUUUUAUCCUGUGACCCAAAAUGAAGUAUUUCUUGGCGUGUGAACCGAAGGGGAAAGUUCCAGCAUGUCUCAUAUGCCACGGAAUUCUCCAGGUUUUAUCAGCGCCAUAUACAGCAGCCAAAGAAUGUUUGAGGUUAUGAAUGGAGUCUAUUAAAGAAUGGCUUAUUAUGAUAUCCCUAAGUUAACUGAAAGUAGAAACUAUAAAAUGUGUUUUAGAAAGGAUGUUUGUUUGUUUUUUUUCCAAUCAGAGUUACAUAACAUGAUAGAAUUAUACCCCAAGGCGAAUGGAUUUGGUUUUGAUAACAAUGACCUGGCAUGCCCACAGGUUCAUGUAGUUUGGACUAGAGGUAAGACUUGUUCCUAAGCAGCAGAGUGGUGUGAAUUCGGAUCCCAGGCAGAUCACUAACUGAUUUGGUGGUUUCCUACACCGCUCUGUUAAGAAAAGCCUGUUUAUGAAUUACAAAAUAAAUCAUUUUCUGUUCCGCAUGA